ACCGAAAAAGAAAGAAAGAAAAAGAAAAAGAAAAAGAAAAAGACAACCAUCCUUCCCUCCAAACGACAUUCCGACGGCGUUUCGGGAAUUCUUGAUUGUUUGCUUUCAACUUUUUCUUAACAUCGAU
rnacentral:ribozyme from 12 species